rnacentral:rRNA from 1 species
GCAAGUAGAACGCUGAAGAGAGGAGCUUGCUCCUCUUGGAUGAGUUGCGAACGGGUGAGUAACGCGUAGGUAACCUGCCUUGUAGCGGGGGAUAACUAUUGGAAACGAUAGCUAAUACCGCAUAACAAUGGAUGACACAUGUCAUUUAUUUGAAAGGGGCAAUUGCUCCACUACAAGAUGGACCUGCGUUGUAUUAGCUAGUAGGUGAGGUAACGGCUCACCUAGGCGACGAUACAUAGCCGACCUGAGAGGGUGAUCGGCCACACUGGGACUGAGACACGGCCCAGACUCCUACGGGAGGCAGCAGUAGGGAAUCUUCGGCAAUGGGGGCAACCCUGACCGAGCAACGCCGCGUGAGUGAAGAAGGUUUUCGGAUCGUAAAGCUCUGUUGUAAGUCAAGAACGAGUGUGAGAGUGGAAAGUUCACACUGUGACGGUAGCUUACCAGAAAGGGACGGCUAACUACGUGCCAGCAGCCGCGGUAAUACGUAGGUCCCGAGCGUUGUCCGGAUUUAUUGGGCGUAAAGCGAGCGCAGGCGGUUUGAUAAGUCUGAAGUUAAAGGCUGUGGCUCAACCAUAAUUCGCUUUGGAAACUGUCAAACUUGAGUGCAGAAGGGGAGAGUGGAAUUCCAUGUGUAGCGGUGAAAUGCGUAGAUAUAUGGAGGAACACCGGUGGCGAAAGCGGCUCUCUGGUCUGUAACUGACGCUGAGGCUCGAAGGCGUGGGGAGCGAACAGGAUUAGAUACCCUGGUAGUCCACG